rnacentral:rRNA from 1 species
GAUCCUGGCUCAGAUUGAACGCUGGCGGCAGGCCUAACACAUGCAAGUCGAACGGUAACAGGAAGCAGCUUGCUGCUUUGCUGACGAGUGGCGGACGGGUGAGUAAUGUCUGGGAAACUGCCUGAUGGAGGGGGAUAACUACUGGAAACGGUAGCUAAUACCGCAUAACGUCGCAAGACCAAAGAGGGGGAACCUUCGGGCCUCCUUGCCAUCGGUAUGUGCCAGAUGGGAUUAGCUAGUAGGG